rnacentral:rRNA from 1 species
UACGUAGGUGGCAAGCGUUAUCCGGAAUUAUUGGGCGUAAAGCGCUCGCAGGCGGUUUCUUAAGUCUGAUGUGAAGGCCCACGGCUCAACCGUGGAGGGUCAUUGGAAACUGGGAGACUUGAGUGCAGAAGAGGAGAGUGGAAUUCCACGUGUAGCGGUGAAAUGCGUAGAGAUGUGGAGGAACACCAGUGGCGAAGGCGACUCUCUGGUCUGUAACUGACGCUGAGGAGCGAAAGCGUGGGGAGCAGACAGG